GAAAUGAUUGUAAGGUGUAUAUGUCCGUUUCACAGAUAGUAUAAACAAUAGGUUAACUAUAUUUGGUGUACGAAAUGAUUGUAAGGUGUAUAUGUCCGUUUCUCAGAUAGUAUAAACAAUAGGUUAACUAUAUUUGGUGUACGAAAUGAUUGUAAGGUGUAUAUGUCCGUUUCUCAGAUAGUAUAAACAAUAGGUUAACUAUAUUUGGUGUAGGAAAUGAUUGUAAGGUGUAUAUGUCUGUUUCUCAGAUAGUAUAAACAAUAGGUUAACUAUAUUUGGUGUACCAAAUGAUUGUAAGGUGUAUAUGUCCGUUUCUCAGAUAGUAUAAACAAUAGGUUAACUAUAUUUGGUGUACGAAAUGAUUGU